GACGGAGGAUGCAAGCGUUAUCCGGAAUUAUUGGGCGUAAAGCGUCCGCAGGUGGACAUACAAGUCUGCUGUCAAAGUGCAGAGCUUAACUCUGUAAAGGCGGUGGAAACUGUAGGUCUUGAGUAUGGUAGGGGUAGAGGGAAUUCCCGGUGUAGCGGUGAAAUGCGUAGAGAUCGGGAGGAACACCAGAGGCGAAGGCGGCCACCUGGACAGGUACUGACACUCAACUGCGAAAGCGUGGGGAGCAAACAGG
rnacentral:rRNA from 1 species